AGGCAGCAGUUAGGAAUCUUCCGCAAUGGACGAAAGUCUGACGGAGCAACGCCGCGUGUAUGAAGAAGGCCUUCGGGUUGUAAAGUACUGUUGUUAGGGAAGAACGGCUCAUGUGUAAAUAGUGCAUGAGAUUGACGGUACCUAACGAGGAAGCCCCGGCUAACUACGUGCCAGCAGCCGCGGUAAUACGUAGGGGGCAAGCGUUGUCCGGAAUCAUUGGGCGUAAAGGGCGCGUAGGCGGGCAUAUAAGUCUGAUGUGAAAGUGCGGAGCUUAACUCCGUAAAGCAUUGGAAACUGUGUGUCUUGAGGACAGGAGAGGAAAGUGGAAUUCCUAGUGUAGCGGUGAAAUGCGUAGAUAUUAGGAGGAACACCAGUGGCGAAGGCGACUUUCUGGACUGUAACUGACGCUGAGGCGCGAAAGCGUGGGGAGCGAACAGGAUUAGAUACCCUGGUAG
rnacentral:rRNA from 1 species